UACAGGGGGGGGCAAGCGUUGUUCGGAAUUACUGGGCGUAAAGCGUGCGUAGGUGGUUUGUUAAGUCUGCUGUGAAAGCCCUGGGCUCAACCUGGGAAUGGCGGUGGAUACUGACAAGCUAGAGUGCGGUAGAGGAGGGUGGAAUUCCCGGUGUAGCGGUGAAAUGCGUAGAGAUCGGGAGGAAUACCGAUGGCGAAGGCAGGUCUCUGGGCUAUAACUGACGCUCAUGCACGAAAGCGUGGGGAGCAAACAGG
rnacentral:rRNA from 1 species